GAUGAACGCUAGCGGCAGGCCUAAUACAUGCAAGUCGAACGGUGUCUUCGGACAUAGUGGCGCACGGGUGCGUAACACGUAUGCAACCUACCUUACAUUGGGGGAUAGCCUUUCGAAAGGGAGAUUAAUACCGCAUAAGACAGUAGCUGGGCAUCCAGCAGCUGUUAAAGAUUUAUCGAUGUAAGCUGGGCAUGCGUCCAAUUAGCUAGUUGGUGAGGUAACGGCUCACCGAGGCAAUGAUUGGUAGGGGAACUGAGAGGUCAAUCCCCCACACUGGCACUGAGAUACGGGCCAGACUCUUACGGGAGGCAGCAGUAGGGAAUAUUGGGCAAUGGACGCAAGUCUGACCCAGCCAUGCCGCGUGCAGGAUGAAGGCGUUAUGCGUUGUAAACUGCCUUUAUACAGGAAGAAACGACUCUUGCGAGAGGCAUUGACGGUACUGUAUGAAUAAGCACCGGCUAACUCCGUGCCAGCCGCCGCCGUAAAAC
rnacentral:rRNA from 1 species